rnacentral:rRNA from 1 species
CACUCCUACGGGAGGCAGCAGUGGGGAAUAUUGGACAAUGGGCGCAAGCCUGAUCCAGCCAUGCCGCGUGAGUGAUGAAGGCCCUAGGGUUGUAAAGCUCUUUCACCGGUGAAGAUAAUGACGGUAACCGGAGAAGAAGCCCCGGCUCACUUCGUGCCAGCAGCCGCGGUAAUACGAAGGGGGCUAGCGUUGUUCGGAUUUACUGGGCGUAAAGCGCACGUAGGCGGACUAUUAAGUCAGGGGUGAAAUCCCGGGGCUCAACCCCGGAACUGCCUUUGAUACUGGUAGUCUUGAGUUCGAGAGAGGUGAGUGGAAUUCCGAGUGUAGAGGUGAAAUUCGUAGAUAUUCGGAGGAACACCAGUGGCGAAGGCGGCUCACUGGCUCGAUACUGACGCUGAGGUGCGAAAGCGUGGGGAGCAAACAGGAUUAGAAACCCUUGUAGUCCCAUGAU